UUACACAUGCAAGUCGAACGAUGAAGACUGGUGCUUGCACUGGUUGGAUUAGUGGCGAACGGGUGAGUAAUACGUGAGUAACCUGCCUUUGACUCUGGGAUAAGCCUGGGAAACUGGGUCUAAUACCGGAUAUGACAAGGAACCGCAUGGUUUUUUGUGGAAAGGGUUUGUACUGGUUUUAGAUGGGCUCACGGCCUAUCAGCUUGUUGGUGGGGUAAUGGCUCACCAAGGCGACGACGGGUAGCCGGCCUGAGAGGGUGACCGGCCACACUGGGACUGAGACACGGCCCAGACUCCUACGGGAGGCAGCAGUGGGGAAUAUUGCACAAUGGGCGCAAGCCUGAUGCAGCGACGCCGCGUGAGGGAUGACGGCCUUCGGGUUGUAAACCUCUUUCAGCAGGGAAGAAGCGAAAGUGACGGUACCUGCAGAAGAAGCGCCGGCUAACUACGUGCCAGCAGCCGCGGUAAUACGUAGGGCGCGAGCGUUGUCCGGAAUUAUUGGGCGUAAAGAGCUUGUAGGCGGUUUGUUGCGUCUGCUGUGAAAGACCGGGGCUUAACCCCGGUAUUGCAGUGGGUACGGGCAGACUAGAGUGCAGUAGGGGAGACUGGAAUUCCUGGUGUAGCGGUGAAAUGCGCAGAUAUCAGGAGGAACACCGAUGGCGAAGGCAGGUCUCUGGGCUGUAACUGACGCUGAGAAGCGAAAGCAUGGGGAGCGAACAGGAUUAGAUACCCUGGUAGUCAUGCCGUAAACGUUGGGCACUAGGUGUGGGGGACAUUCCACGUUUUCCGCGCCGUAGCUAACGCAUUAAGUGCCCCGCCUGGGGAGUACGGCCGCAAGGCUAAAACUCAAAGGAAUUGACGGGGGCCCGCACAAGCGGCGGAGCAUGCGGAUUAAUUCGAUGCAACGCGAAGAACCUUACCAAGGCUUGACAUAUACUGGACCGCCUCAGAGAUGGGGUUUCCCUUCGGGGCUGGUAUACAGGUGGUGCAUGGUUGUCGUCAGCUCGUGUCGUGAGAUGUUGGGUUAAGUCCCGCAACGAGCGCAACCCUCGUUCUAUGUUGCCAGCACGUUAUGGUGGGGACUCAUAGGAGACUGCCGGGGUCAACUCGGAGGAAGGUGGGGAUGACGUCAAAUCAUCAUGCCCCUUAUGUCUUGGGCUUCACGCAUGCUACAAUGGCCGGUACAAAGGGUUGCGAUACUGUGAGGUUGAGCUAAUCCCAAAAAGCCGGUCUCAGUUCGGAUUGGGGUCUGCAACUCGACCCCAUGAAGUCGGAGUCGCUAGUAAUCGCAGAUCAGCAACGCUGCGGUGAAUACGUUCCCGGCCCUUGUACACACCGCCCGUCAAGUCACGAAAGUUGGUA
rnacentral:rRNA from 1 species